AGCGAACGCUGGCGGCAGGCCUAACACAUGCAAGUCGAACGAAGCCUUCGGGCUUAGUGGCGGACGGGUGAGUAACACGUGGGAACGUACCUAUUGGUUCGGAAUAACGCAGAGAAAUUUGCGCUAAUACCGGAUGAGCCCUUCGGGGGAAAGAUUUAUCGCCGAAAGAUCGGCCCGCGUUGGAUUAGGUAGUUGGUGUGGUAAAGGCGCACCAAGCCUACGAUCCAUAGCUGGUCUGAGAGGAUGAUCAGCCACACUGGGACUGAGACACGGCCCAGACUCCUACGGGAGGCAGCAGUGGGGAAUCUUGCGCAAUGGGCGAAAGCCUGACGCAGCCAUGCCGCGUGAAUGAUGAAGGUCUUAGGAUUGUAAAAUUCUUUUACCAGGGACGAUAAUGACGGUACCUGGAGAAAAAGCCCCGGCUAACUUCGUGCCAGCAGCCGCAGUAAAAC
rnacentral:rRNA from 1 species